GAUGAACGCUGGCGGCGUGCUUAACACAUGCAAGUCGAACGGAAAGGCCAGUGCUUGCACUGGUGCUCGAGUGGCGAACGGGUGAGUAACACGUGGGUGAUCUGCCCUGCACUUUGGGAUAAGCCUGGGAAACUGGGUCUAAUACCAGAUAGGACCAUGCUUUGGAUGGUGUGGUGGAAAGUUUUUUCGGUGUGGGAUGAGCUUGCGGCCUAUCAGCUUGUUGGUGGGGUAAUGGCCUACCAAGGCGUCGACGGGUAGCCGGCCUGAGAGGGUGUACGGCCACAUUGGGACUGAGAUACGGCCCAGACUCCUACGGGAGGCAGCAGUGGGGAAUAGUGCACAAUGGGCGCAAGCCUGAUGCAGCGACGCCGCGUGGGGGAUGACGGCCUUCGGGUUGUAAACUCCUUUCGCAACUGACGAAGCUUUUUGUGACGGUAGGUUGAGAAGAAGCACCGGCUAACUACGUG
rnacentral:rRNA from 1 species